CUGGAGGGAUAGCUCAGUAGGUAGCACAUGAGACUCUUAAUCUCAAGGUCAUGGGUUUGAGCCCCACGGUGGGUGAAAGA